rnacentral:lncRNA from 1 species
GCUCUGCAGCCCACUCCGUUUUCUUCCUACCUUGCUUAGGGUGGAACUCCGCCUGGCUUCUGCUGCUCUGUCCUGCAUCUGAAGGGUGACCUCCUUGCUGGAGACCCUCCUCCUCCGUGUGAGCCCCAGACCCUGGCUGCAGCUUUAUUUCACAGAAAGAUCAAACUUUAUAUUGUUCAUUGGUUGAACUCGUCUAUAGUCCUGGCAGUGGACCACAUAAAGACAGGAACUGGAAAUGUGGACCAAAGUCAAGGGCAGAAACUCUCUCACAGGACUAGGACUGGACCUGAGCAAGACUGUGUCACCACACUGGGCAGAGAAUAUGAGAAGCUGGCCAUGGAAGAAUUCUGCCAUCAAAGCAUUUCCUGCAUUGAUCAAGUGGUUGGACCCCAG